rnacentral:rRNA from 1 species
ACGGAGGGGGCUAGCGUUGUUCGGAAUUACUGGGCGUAAAGCGCACGUAGGCGGCUUUGUAAGUUAGAGGUGAAAGCCCGGGGCUCAACUCCGGAAUUGCCUUUAAGACUGCAUCGCUAGAAUUGUGGAGAGGUAAGUGGAAUUCCGAGUGUAGAGGUGAAAUUCGUAGAUAUUCGGAAGAGCACCAGUGGCGAAGGCGGCUUACUGGUCCGGUUCUGACGCUGAGGCGCGAAAGCGUGGGGAGCAAACAGGA